rnacentral:rRNA from 1 species
AGUGAACGCUGGCGGUAGGCCUAACACAUGCAAGUCGAACGGCAGCACAGUAAGAGCUUGCUCUUACGGGUGGCGAGUGGCGGACGGGUGAGGAAUACAUCGGAAUCUACUUUUUCGUGGGGGAUAACGUAGGGAAACUUACGCUAAUACCGCAUACGACCUACGGGUGAAAGCAGGGGAUCUUCGGACCUUGCGCGAUUGAAUGAGCCGAUGUCGGAUUAGCUAGUUGGCGGGGUAAAGGCCCACCAAGGCGACGAUCCGUAGCUGGUCUGAGAGGAUGAUCAGCCACACUGGAACUGAGACACGGUCCAGACUCCUACGGGAGGCAGCAGUGGGGAAUAUUGGACAAUGGGCGCAAGCCUGAUCCAGCCAUACCGCGUGAGUGAAGAAGGCCUUCGGGUUGUAAAGACCUUUUGUUGGGAAAGAAAAGCAGCAGGUUAAUACCCCGCUGUUCUGACGGUACCCAAAGAAUAAGCACCGGCUAACUUCGUG